rnacentral:rRNA from 1 species
UACGUAGGGGGCAAGCGUUGUCCGGAUUCAUUGGGCGUAAAGAGCGUGUAGGCGGCCUGGAAGGUCAGCUGUGAAAACUCGGGGCUCAACUCCGAGCUUGCAGUCGAUACGGGCAGGCUAGAGUUCGGCAGGGGAGACUGGAAUUCCUGGUGUAGCGGUGAAAUGCGCAGAUAUCAGGAGGAACACCGGUGGCGAAGGCGGGUCUCUGGGCCGAUACUGACGCUGAGGAGCGAAAGCGUGGGGAGCGAACAGG